rnacentral:rRNA from 1 species
UACGUAGGGUGCAAGCGUUAAUCGGAAUUACUGGGCGUAAAGCGUGCGCAGGCGGUGAUGUAAGACAGGUGUGAAAUCCCCGGGCUUAACCUGGGAACUGCAUUUGUGACUGCAUCGCUGGAGUGCGGCAGAGGGGGAUGGAAUUCCGCGUGUAGCAGUGAAAUGCGUAGAUAUGCGGAGGAACACCGAUGGCGAAGGCAAUCCCCUGGGCCUGCACGUGACGCUCGAUGCACGAAAGCGUGGGGAGCAAACAGG